CUUGGGAUCCAGCCUGCUGUCCUUCCCUUCUGAGCUGCCAGCACGGACUCUGAUUUCUUGAGAUUCCCAUCUUCGGAUCAGACACAGUUUCCCCACUUCCUGGUCAUCUGCCCAAACCAAGAGGGUGGCCGUCUGUAAGCCAGGAAGAGGGCCCUCACCAAGAACCGAGUCUCCCGACACCUUGAUCUUAGACUUCCAGCCUCCAGAACCCUUCUCUCUCUCCUCGUCAAGAAGGCUGGAAGCUGCCCUUCCUCACCUGUGGCCAGGUUGGUCCUGCUGGGGCCUCCUGCAGCAUCUCUUGGAAGACCUGCCAGGCAACAUGUGUCAGAGGGUCACAGCCGUCAGAGGCCACCCAGCAAUUAGGCAGCUGCCUUGUCAUGCUCCCUGGGGAGGGUGCUCAGCGACAUGCGCGGGUCGUUCUGUCAUCAGUUUUCUAGAAGCAU